AGAGCGAACGCUGGCGGCAGGCCUAAUACAUGCAAGUCGAACGGAUCCUUCGGGAUUAGUGGCGGACGGGUGAGUAACACGUGGGAACGUGCCCUUUGGUUCGGAACAACUCAGGGAAACUUGAGCUAAUACCGGAUGUGCCCUUCGGGGGAAAGAUUUAUCGCCAUUGGAGCGGCCCGCGUCUGAUUAGCUAGUUGGUGGGGUAAAGGCCCACCAAGGCUACGAUCAGUAGCUGGUCUGAGAGGAUGAUCAGCCACACUGGGACUGAGACACGGCCCAGACUCCUACGGGAGGCAGCAGUAGGGAAUCUGCGCAAUGGGCGAAAGCCUGACGCAGCCAUGCCGCGUGAAUGAUGAAGGUCUUAGGAUUGUAAAAUUCUUUCAGCGGGGACGAUAAUGACGGUACCGCAGAAGAAGCCCGGCUAACUUCGCGCCAGCAGCCGC
rnacentral:rRNA from 1 species